UAAAGCUAAAAGAAUCAGCAUUACAAAGGAGAAAACAUCAUACCCUGGGCUACUGACCUAUAAUGAAGUAUAUAAAACUAUGCAUGUACAACGGAGUAAAUAAAACUAGAGAUUAAAAUUCAGAAAUUCUUCUCAUUCAAUAAUCUAGCAUACAAAAGAAAAUGAGAGAAUAAAUGUUAAAGAGAAUGCCGAAGCAACCACUUUCUGCAUUAAAAAGGUUUUUUAAUAGAGAUGGAAAUGGAAUAGGUUUGGUUCAUUUGGUUCAAAGAUUAACCAAAUUCAAACGUAAUUAACUAACAAAAACAGAACCACCGUGAAACAGAAUCUAUAAUCAUCUUACCACAAAAUUCUCCCCAACCUGAUUUUAUUUACCUCAACGACAUCUUAUAUGGUAAACAAUAUUAUGUUUCUACUUUAAGUGGUUAAGCACAAAAUUGUGUUAAAAAUUAUAUGCGCACAAAUGAAAAAUAUUUUCAAAACUCAUGAGUGUUUGAAGUCUGUGUGACUCCUCAAUUAACUUAAUUCCAUUUCCUGAACCAGUCUAAAGGGAAGCAGUAUGGAUGGACCAUCAAAUUAACCAACUUUCUUGCAUCAUAUGCCACACAAAGAUGUGUUUUUUGGUAACGUCAUAAAACCAAGUGUAUUGUCUCCAAAUGUAGAUGUGACAUUGCCUUUGUCAAUGGAUGCAGAAAUUAAGUAAUGCAAACUUUCUAACCCUUUGAUGUUGAACUAUAUUUCAGCAAACUUUUAGGAUCAGAUUGGCUCAGUUUAUUGGCUUACAAUUUGAAUAAUCCCGACUAUCAA
rnacentral:misc_RNA from 1 species